GUUUUUUUUUUUUCAUUUAAAUUGCCGUUAUCCUUGAAUGCCACCUUGUGGAUUAAGAUAGUAAAGGUAAAUGCUAUUGCUAUGUUCAGUUUAAAAUCAGAAUGGGAAUUCUCAGCUUCACACUUGAAUAUUCCCAGUAACACCCAACAUUUUGAAAUACCAAUUUCAGCACAUCAUGACCCAGGACUUGUACUGUAUCUCUUAUCCCCUCACCUCAUGUGAGUCCAUACCAUCUCUCUAAACUCUGACAGGUGUCUGUGUUUCCUACUCAGAAUCUGGAGAGAACACAGAAGCGGGCUUGGUGCAUUAUCCUUGGACCAUCAAACAGCAUCUAUACAUCAGCACUCAAUCUGACCGCUGAGAGAACGUGGCAACUGAACUCUGCGUCCAGCUUGCCCAUCAUCACCUCCAAUCUGACAACAGCAACCUGCUGCCACAACCACCAGAGGUCGUAACUCCCUCAUUACGGAUGCACACGCUUUCUCUCACACGCUUGACUUGGAGGAGUCAACUAAAACCGUGCAGAAAAUGAUUUCACACCCCAACAAUACAUUGUCACAACUGGCCCUAGAAGCUGGCCUGACCUUAUCGGUUUAAGGACAAUGGUUUUUGCUCUGAGCUAAAUGUUAGACGUGUGUACUUCUACCGCGCAUCUCAUAGUGCCGCGCUGCGCCGCAUAGUGAUGGGUGGACCGAAGGCAGCGCUCGCCGAGACUCAUCCCUAAAAAAAGCUCAAUGCCUCUUCCUCGGAGCCGCCGACAGCAGGCGAGACCCGUGGACCGCUUCAUUAACUGUCCAGACACGGAUUGAUUGAUCAGAUGUCUUGUUCACGACCGAAACUUCAACUAUGCAUUCACUGGAAACGCAAAUGGCUCCCAGUUUGAGGAGUGCGCGGAGAGAUUUCACCAAACUGCAUGCCUGCGGCGCGGCGGCUGGAGACGGGCGCUCACCGGGAUGGAUAAGAGUGCGAGAAGCAGGGUGGUAUCGGAGAACCAGGAGAAGAGAUGGAGCAGAAGGGAUGUCUGCAAACUGUCUGUUAUACAUAGGAAUGGUCUUACUUCUGUUGCAGUGUGCGCAGGCCACAGAGGAUGAGACAAACUACGACGCCUCUGGUUCUUCUGAUGUACCCAAUGACACAACAGCCUCCGCCCAUCCCAUUCACCCAUUGGCCGGCUUGCUGUUGGUGGAUGAGGAGCCUUUAUCAGUCGUCCAACCAGAUGGCAGGGCUGUGUCAGAGGGGGUGGGCCUGAGAGAGCAGCCUGCCUUCUCCUCCAUACUGACCCUGCUGGCGGAUAAACACCCACUGAGCUUGGUCCGAUCCAAGACCUCGCCAACCAUCAUCAAGGACAACAACCAAACCAGCCUGUGGCCUUCGGUUGCUCCCUUCUCUUCUUCUUCUUCUUCUGUGGAGCCGAGCAGAGACCUGUCUGACAGCUCAGGUUUGACUCCCAGCAUGCUUCACCAGACCAAGGCGUCAUCAAUGUCAGUGUCAUCAGUGGCGUCCUUCAUGACUGGGGAUUGGAGGGCAGUGUCAUCAUCAGCACAUACAUUGUUCUCAUCAUCAUCAACAAUAUUAUCAUCACCAUCAUCAUCAGCAAUGUUAUCACUAUCAUCAUCACCACCAUUAUCAUCAUUAGCAGUGUCAUCACCAUCAGCAUCAUCACCACCAUCAGCAGCAGCAGCAAUAUCAUCAUCAUCACCACCACCAUCACCAUCAUCAGCAAUAUCAUCACUAUCACCAUCAUCACCAGCAUCAUCACUAUCACCAGCAUCCUCAUCUGAAUGGUUAAUAACAGCAGCCUUUGCUUUAUCCUAUGACAUCUCAAGCCCGUCUAUCCCUGUCAGUGUGACACAAACAGCCUCAUCAGUGUCAUCUGUGUUUCCUCUGAAUAAAACAUCAUUGAAUCCUCCAAUCCAAUCCAGCAUUAGUUUAGAUGUAGAUAUAUUUACAGUCACAAAGAGCUUACCACUUCCCCUCUCUGACUCCACUCACCAAUCACUGACUAGAGGAGUGACCACAGAGACCAGUGGCACCAAAUCACAAGUCAGGACUCAGGACUCUGCAGCUCCAGCAUCGCUUCAAUCCCAUGGCUUGUAUGGGACACAAAGGACAACAUCGUCAAACAAAAUCGACGCCAGCCCUUUCACAACAUGGAAACCAGCAAAGACAGAAGCAAACCACUCCACCUCUACUAGUGUUACCUCUGGAAACGUCCCUUUCAACGUUUCAGCCAGAACCAUCAGAUCAUCACACAGCCGCCGGA
rnacentral:lncRNA from 1 species